UCAUGUCAUCUAUUUGUCGCCGUUGUCCGCAGGUAAAGCAGCUCUGCGGAAGCCGCCGGCCACCAGGAUCAGAUUCUGUUGUGCAGCCUCAUGUGUGAAGCAAGAAAGUUAUGAUCUGGUGACAGAAGUCCUUCGAACGUGGACAAAUCAGUACCAAAAUUGAUUUGGUUCUUCCAAUCUGUGUGUACAAUGUUUUUUCUGAGGAGCAAGUAGGUGGAGCACAUGAGUGACGAUGAUACCCCAAACUCUCACUAACUCUUAGCAUCUCAUAAUGUGAUGUCUAUAGGAGAUGGAGCAGCGCCUUGUUGAUGCAUGAGCCGAUGCGGUCUGAAUCAAGCCUGUGCGCAUCUUGGUGAGAAUCAUUGGUCUGGUUUGACCAUAUUUUUUGGACUGCAUUUUGUGGUUGUGUGUGAAAUUGUGUGCGGUGUAGGAUCUGCACUGUACGUGGAUUGCAAUUGUAGGACUGAUGGUAAGGCUUGAUCAAUGAACAUCGACAUAAUUUACAAUUUGAUCUUGAUUAAGCACAUGCGAUGGUGUAGUCUCUCUCUGUGUCGCUGAAAGGCACUUGGUGGCGAGGGCGCACGCGGAGAUGCGUUUAGUAGGGGCCCGACGAGUGGGUAAGGGCGGGCGUGGAGAUCACUAUUCCUGUGUCAGCGAACAUAAUACAAGCAUGUGUGACGAGGACGAACUUGGCACAUGCAAUGGUGGGGAGUGGCGGCGAUGGUCAGGUGGAGGAGAACACGAGAAACGAAGCCAUGCGGCUGCAUCAGGCAUGUAUAGCUGAUCAAUGACUAUACAUAUUUUUGCCCGAAUGGUUUAGAUGGUCUUAACUGGAGGCUGCAUGGUGUAUCAGAUUUGGGUCGGAUCAGAGGAAAUCUACGGGAGAUUUGCAUGAGAUAGCAAUAGUGUGGCCCAUGAAACAGCAAAAAAUCAUCAACGUGGUGUAUCAGAUGUACAUUGACUUUCAGAGCACCAUCAACUAGCUUGAUCUGGUGUCCACUCGAAUAGAAAAGAAGAUGAAGUGCGUGACCAUUGUAGCUACUGUUUAAUUCAGGUAUAUACAUUGAUUGUUCAUACAAUUUUUUUCUAUCAUUUAACCAAAUGACGAAUGUGUGCAUCUGAAGAAGGACUGAGGGUGAGAAGAAC